GAUCUAUAGCUGAUCUGAGAGGAUGAUCAGCCACACUGGAACUGAGAUACGGUCCAGACUCCUACGGGAGGCAGCAGUGGGGAAUAUUGGACAAUGGGCGAAAGCCUGAUCCAGCUAUGCCGCAUGAGUGAAGAAGGCCUUUGGGUUGUAAAGCUCUUUUAGUGAGGAAGAUAAUGACGGUACUCACAGAAGAAGUCCUGGCUAACUCCGUGCCAGCAGCCGCGGUAAUACGGAGAGGGCUAGCGUUAUUCGGAAUUAUUGGGCGUAAAGGGCGCGUAGGCUGAUUAAUAAGUUAAAAGUGAAAUCCCGAGGCUUAACCUUGGAAUUGCUUUUAAAACUAUUAAUCUAGAGAUUGAAAGAGGAUAGAGGAAUUCCUGAUGUAGAGGUAAAAUUCGUAAAUAUUAGGAGGAACACCAGUGGCGAAGGCGUCUAUCUGGUUCAAAUCUGACGCUGAGGCGCGAAGGCGUGGGGAGCAAACAGGAUUAGAUACCCUGGUAGUCCACGCUAUAAACGAUGAAUGUUAAAUAUGGGGAAGUUUACUUUCU
rnacentral:rRNA from 1 species